rnacentral:rRNA from 1 species
UACGUAGGGUGCGAGCGUUAAUCGGAAUUACUGGGCGUAAAGCGUGCGCAGGCGGUUUUGUAAGACAGGUGUGAAAUCCCCGGGCUUAACCUGGGAACUGCGCUUGUGACUGCAAGACUCGAGUACGGCAGAGGGGGGUGGAAUUCCACGUGUAGCAGUGAAAUGCGUAGAGAUGAUGGAGGAACACCGAUGGCGAAGGCAGCCCCCUGGGUCGAUACUGACGCUCAUGCACGAAAGCGUGGGGAGCAAACAGG